rnacentral:rRNA from 1 species
UACGCAGUGCGAUGAGGGGACUCCGAGUGUGAAGGCAUAGAGCCUUCACUUUUGUACACCGUAAGGUGGUGUACGAAUAAGGGCUGGGCAAGACCGGUGCCAGCCGCCGCGGUAAUACCGGCAGCCCGAGUGAUGGCCGAUAUUAUUGGGCCUAAAGCGUCCGUAGCUGGCCGGACAAGUCCGUUGGGAAAUCUGUUCGCUUAACGAGCAGGCGUCCAGCGGAAACUGUUCGGCUUGGGACCGGAAGACCUGAGGGGUACGUCCGGGGUAGGAGUGAAAUCCUGUAAUCCUGGACGGACCACCGGUGGCGAAAGCGCCUCAGGAGGACGGAUCCGACAGUGAGGGACGAAAGCUAGGGUCUCGAACCGGAUUAGAUACCCGGGUAGUCCUAGCUGUAAACGAUGCCCGCUAGGUGUGGCGCAGGCUACGAGCCUGCGCUGUGCCGUAGGGAAGCCGAGAAGCGGGCCGCCUGGGAAGUACGUCUGCAAGGAUGAAACUUAAAGGAAUUGGCGGGGGAGCACUACAACCGGAGGAGCCUGCGGUUUAAUUGGACUCAACGCCGGACAUCUCACCAGCUCCGACAGUAGUAAUGACGGUCAGGUUGAUGACCUUACCCGAUGCUACUGA